AUUGAACGCUGGCGGAAUGCUUUACACAUGCAAGUCGAACGGUAGAGGGGGCAACCCCUCGAGAGUGGCGAACGGGUGAGUAAUAUAUCGGAACGUGCCCAGUCGUGGGGGAUAACGUAGCGAAAGUUACGCUAAUACCGCAUACGAUCUAAGGAUGAAAGCGGGGGAUCGCAAGACCUCGCGCGAUUGGAGCGGCCGAUAGCAGAUUAGGUAGUUGGUGGGGUAAAGGCUCACCAAGCCAACGAUCUGUAGCUGGUCUGAGAGGACGACCGGCCACACUGGAACUGAGACACGGUCCAGACUCCUACGGGAGGCAGCAGUGGGGAAUUUUGGACAAUGGACGCAAGUCUGAUCCAGCCAUUCCGCGUGCAGGAUGAAGGCCCUCGGGUUGUAAACUGCUUUUGUACGGAACGAAAAGGUCUCUCUUAAUACGGGGGGCUCAUGACGGUACCGUAAGAAUAAGCACCGGCUAACUACGUGCCAGCAGCCGCCGCAG
rnacentral:rRNA from 1 species